UAGGGAAUCUUCCGCAAUGGGCGAAAGCCUGACGGAGCANCGCCGCGUGAGCGAAGAAGGCCUUCGGGUCGUAAAGCUCUGUUGUCAGGGAAGAACAAGUACCGGAGUAACUGCCGGUACCUUGACGGUACCUGACCAGAAAGCCCCGGCUAACUACGUGCCAGCAGCCGCGGUAAUACGUAGGGGGCGAGCGUUGUCCGGAAUCAUUGGGCGUAAAGCGCGCGCAGGCGGUCCCUUAAGUCUGAUGUGAAAUCUUGCGGCUCAACCGCAAGGGGUCAUUGGAAACUGGGGGACUUGAGUGCAGGAGAGGGAAGCGGAAUUCCAUGUGUAGCGGUGAAAUGCGUAGAGAUAUGGAGGAACACCAGUGGCGAAGGCGGCUUCCUGGCCUGUAACUGACGCUCAGGCGCGAAAGCGUGGGGAGCAAACAGGAUUAGAUACCCUGGUAGUCCACGCCGUAAACGAUGAGUGCUAAGUGUUGGAGGGGUUUACCCUUUAA
rnacentral:rRNA from 1 species